AGUCAUUGCAAUGGUCAAGGCUGAUAUGAUUCCACAAUGGACAGGAUCGGAUCAUACUGUAUCGAUCUAUUCUUUUUUUUUUUUUUUUUAAACUAGUUUUUCAUUACGAUUUGACCCUUAAAUCAUCACGAGAUCGGAAAAGUUAAGAUCGAGGACAAGUGAAAAUCAAUACCAUUCUGAUCCUACCGAUACUCACCGUUCCGUUUCGUUUUUGUUAGGACCAUGCCGUAGGUGCAGCCGUGCAGGGAAAUUCAGUUCCUUAUGUUUUUAGGCGCCCACGUUUUUAUCCAUCUUUUUUCUCUACCAUAUUUUCUCACUCGGACACACACUCCCUCUUUUCUUAAAAAAUUCACCGACCAAGAGUCGUGUCUAAACAGUUACACAAACAUAUGGUCAAUGAAGCCGGCACCGAAGUCGUGUACGUAGCGAGGAGGCAAGAGCCGCAAGACUCUUGCUUCUUAUUUAUUUAUCCAACUCGCCUCGAAUUUCUCUUCGUUUACGAGAUUCGAACCCAACUCCCUACUUUCCUCACCUAGAAGUAAGAGUAGAAAGAAGAGAAAACAGUGAAGAUGGCUUCAUGAUCGGGUCUAGGGUUUCACGGCCUUCUCCUUUCUCGAUUCCCCGAGCUCAAUCUGUCUCCCCCUUUUUUUUUAUGCGGUGGAUGAUAUACAGACUCAGUAAGACGGUACUGAAAACAAUUACUUCGUGAAUUUAAUUCGUGAUUGGUAGUAGAUCGCAGAUUUUGAACCAUUGGGAGAGUCCCAAUGCCGGAAGAAGAUCUGGUCGAGCUUAAGUUCCGGCUAUACGAUGGGACCGACAUCGGACCGAUCCGGUACUCCUCAGCCUCUACUGUUGCCAUGCUCAAGGAAAGAAUCGUUGCCGAAUGGCCGAAAG